rnacentral:rRNA from 1 species
GACGAACGCUGGCGGCGUGCUUAACACAUGCAAGUCGAACGAAGUGGCGAACGGGUGAGUAACGCGUAAACAACCUGCCCUUCAGAGGGGGACAACAGUUGGAAACGACUGCUAAUACAGCAUACUGAAGGAGGGGAUUGCGUGUGAUUAGCUAGUUGGAGGGGUAACGGACAACCAAGGCGAUGAUCAGUAGCCGGUCUGAGAGGGUGAAGGGCCACAUUGGGACUUGGAAACGGCCCAGACUCCUACGGGAGGCAGCAGUGGGGAAGCUUCCGCAAUGGACGAAAGGCUGACGGAGCAACGCCCCGUUAGUGGUGACGGCCUUCGAGUUGUAAAGCUUUGUUAAUCGGGACGCGGUACCGGAAUAGAAAGCCACGGCUAACUACGUGCCAGCCGCCGCGGUAAUAC